CACUUAUACUGCAACCUAUAAGCAUUGAGGGUAGUUAAACUGUGUGGACUAUAAGGAACUAGGCAUGCAGUUAAAGUCAAUAUUAUGUGCUCUCCAUUCAUUGAUCUUAGCUACUUUUGUCCUCAGAAGUAUGCAACUACUUACAUCCAAGACAUUCACUAUGUGUUACUUCUGUUCCUGAAGUACCACCAACAUAUAUGCAUUACGCUUUAUGCUGCUCGUACCCUAGGAGUACGCAUUCAUCCAUCCACAUUCCACAUCCACUUAGAAAAUGUUCCAUUUCUACACUGGAAGAAGACACCAAAAAUAUUCAUUAUGUCUUAUUUUACUUUCCCAAUAAAGCUCCAAUUAUUUUAAUUGAUAAUCCCUACUAUUAUUAGUGCAUUAAAAUGGUUGGCUGAUCUUAAAAAAGAAUAAAAGAAAAGAUAGAGAAAAAGAAAGAAAGAGGACAAAAAGUGCCAAUUCAAAAGAAAAGAAAGACAUCCAAGUCCUUGUUCUCAGAUUAGGGAGGUAUGUUAUCCCCGAGGAGCAAUUCUAGAAUUAGAUAUUCACCAUCAGUUAUCACCCUCAUUAUCACUAUCAUUCUUAUCACUCAUUUUACUCACAUGCACAUAUGACUUAAUUGUAUAAUUAGUUUCUCUAGAUCCAUGGUUUAACUAAGCAAUACAUGCAAGUAGGUUUCAAUCAUCUCCUCCACCUAUAAGCUCCAUAUAAGCCAAUUAGAAGUAGGGUGAGAGAGAGAAGGCAGUUAUGUCUUAAUGAUAUAAAUACCAUAUUUUGAGAGAAGGCAUAUUCACAUGUCUUCGAGAGGAUCCAAAAAUACCACAUAUGAGAGAUUGGAAAGGGUCAUACAUGGAAUCUCUGAGUUUUAUUUGAAAAUAUUACAAAACUCCAUAAUAAUAGCUGAUCAAAGAGUGAGUAACAUAGCGCUUGUCUUAACUGUUCUAUCUUUCAACCGCUCAAUACCUAAGUGAUAGCUAUAAGCCCCAUGGUGAAAGGUAAUAUGGAUGAGUCUUGAGUCAGAAUAGUUCACUCUAAUCUGAAGGAGAGUCCUUCUUUGAAUGCAUGUGUACUUGUAAGACAUGAAAGCAUUGCAGCAACUCCUGAUACAUCGCUGAGUUUUUCUUUGCUCAGGGAUGAGCAAAAGGUAAGCUUGGGGGACC
rnacentral:lncRNA from 1 species